UACGUAGGGUGCGAGCGUUGUCCGGAAUUAUUGGGCGUAAAGGGCUCGUAGGCGGUUUGUCGUGUCGGGAGUGAAAUCCACUGGCUUAACUGGUGGCUUGCUUUCGAUACGGGCAGACUAGAGUGCGGUAGGGGUGACUGGAAUUCCUGGUGUAGCGGUGGAAUGCGCAGAUAUCAGGAAGAACACCCGUGGCUAAGGCGGCUCUCUAGUACGGUACUGACGCUGAGACGCGAAAGCGUGGGGAGCGAACAGG
rnacentral:rRNA from 1 species